CUCAAAUUUGAGGGAGGUGAUGGAAGACAUUAACAGUUCAACAGGUUACUUAAAUAGUCACAGGAUACAAGACUAGACUAUUUUAAUUCAUUUUAAUAUAUUUGAUGGAAUUUGUAUGAGCUCACAGGACUGUGACAGCUCUUCACAGCAUUUCAGUCCUAGGUGCCACAUUUCCUACCACUGGCAUCAGUGGGAGCAGGACUGAAGUGCUCUUUAACACUUGGGGUAAAUUUCAGUCAAGCAGGACCAACACUGCAUUGCAGUCUGAACUGCACAAUGGAAAAGGCUGAACAAAUGUCUUUUUUUUCUUUGCAUAAUUGUGCUUUUCCCUCAGUAACCCGGCCAGCUACUAUGUUUGCUGCUGCAGGUUCAAACAUAGUAGGUUUUAUGCUGUCCAUGUAAAUGCACGCCUUCUUAAGAUGCUUCUUGUUUUAUUUAAUUGAACUCUAAUUAGUACCCCUGUUGAGCAUGCCCCGGUGGCUCCCAGUUCUGCUGCUCCUGCACCACAUGCUUCAGCACCUCAGCCUGCUCCUGCUGCUCCAAACACAGCCAGCCCGAUGGCAGCACCAGCCACCACCUCAGUAGUGCAAGAGGCUUUCUCAUCCUCCUUCCAAAGAAACACAACCCAGUCAUAUACACCAAUGCCAAUUUCUGGAGGCUACAGUGAAAGUCCUGCUCCUUCUGCUGCUUCAAAAAUGAGAGUUGUUACUACUGCCAGCAUAAAGCCCUCUGUCUACCAGCCAGGUAAGGAGCCUUCAAAGUACUGAAAA
rnacentral:lncRNA from 1 species